AAAUAUUCCACAACAUCGUCCUUGGCAAUGUAGUUUCCCCCCUCGGGAUUAAUAAAGUUAUCUUAUCUUAUCUUAUCUUAUCUUAUCUUAUCUUAU